UCAUUGCACACACAGAGAGCAGCAGCAAACCCCCUUUGCGAACUUCAUGAAUGUCCCCCCUUGGCCGGUGUCCUCCCCCUCCUUCCGUGCCAGCCAGCCUGCCUGCAGCAGAUGGUUGGUUGGUUGGUUGGGGGGCCCGUGCCGAGCCCGAGUCCCCCUCCUCCCCCCCAGAUCGGUGGUACCCUCCCGGUCUGGUGUGCGUUGGUCGGGGACUUGGUGUUUCUCCAAACAAAAACCGAUGGCGCAAUGCAUCAACACCUCCAAAAUAUGACUGAGUAUAAAAGACCGGGGCGCGCGUGCGUGCCCCCGAGUUGUGAAAAUAAACAAAGAACAACUCUCAGCAACGGAUAUCUUGGCUCCUGCAACGAUGAAGAACGCAGCGAAAUGCGAUACGUAGUGUGAAUUGCAGAAUUCCGCGAAUCAUCGAGUCUUUGAACGCAAGUUGCGCCCGAGGCUUGCCCUCGGGCAUUUCUGUCAGAGCGUCACCGCGACACCCACCGGUCCCCACUCACUCCAAGUGAAAGUGGGGCCGAGUGAAAGUGGCCAUCCGAGCGUCUCGGAGGAGCUCUGCUGGGUUGGCUGAAAUGGAGGGAAUUUGGCCGCCGUGGCGACACGGCCCGCGAUCAGGUGAUCCAAGUCUCUCGAUCUUGGAACUCAAUGUGUGUUGGCCGUGUCCCCCCAGUUGGUUGGAUUCCAAAGCAGGUCCCUCCUUCUUCUUCCCCUUGGGGUGCACUCGUGCAUCUCGGGGGGGGGAGGAGGAGUCGGAAAA
rnacentral:rRNA from 1 species